UAACAGUACGCUAUAAUCUCAUAGGAAUCAAACGCUAUCUGAGGUUGCAGUUUUUCAUAGCAUAAACCUCUUUGGACGUCUCUGAGGAAAGCCUUUUCACUGUUGGGUUUGAGCAGAUCUUGCUGACUGUUAUAUAACAAACUUUACCUAAAGCACCAGUCUGUUUUAAACAUUCAGUACAGUCACUCCUGCAGCUCCCACUUUACACUAUGGUGGGGGAGAAGAGACAGCAUGCUCCUUUGACAUUCCAGCUCAAGGGAAGUGGGGGGUUGCUGGUGUGGCCUUUCAUUCAACAUGACUGUAAACCAAUCCUCAACUUACUCAGCAGCUGUAACCUCCCACCAUAGAGGAGCUCAGUGCUUGUGGAAGCAGCACCACAUGGACCACAGUACAGCAGUGGAGUAACAACAUUCAUCUCACUGACAGAAGGUCGCAGGUCAAAAUGGCACAGGGGAUUUUCUGAAUAAAAGGUUGCCUCAUCUCCAAAGUGUACUCAGAGGUCCCAGAUGGUGUUUGGGAUUGGAUUUUGGCUGUGACCUUUUUCUUGGUAAGUGUUAACUUACGGGGUUAUCAAAAGUUUUGGCCGAUGAGUGACUUUGGCGAGAGCACCAGUCGAAUCAUGGAUCAUUUCAAUAUGUGUCUUUGUUAUGACUUUCACAGGUAGGUUUGUAACUGUUACUUUACAUUUUUACAUUUUGAAAAAUAACUUGCUAGCUUGACUCCUCUUAGCUGUAUGUUUACUCUUUUUUUUAUAAAUUGGUUUAUUUUUGUAACUUUGCCAUCCAUGUCUCUUCAACUCCUUUAUCAUCAGUGCUGAGUAAUUGAUUUGGCUUCCGGCCAGUUGUGAUGUUUGGAGGAUUUCUUAUAUCUCUGGGCACAAUCUCAACAGCAUUCACCAGCUCCAUCAGUCAGAUGUACCUUACUAUUGGGAUUGUGACAGGUGCCGUCUUCCUUGGGUUCGUACGUCCAUCUAAGACAGGUCAACUGUGCUCGAGGAGGGACAAUGGACAGAAUAACCCCAUAGUGGAGCAAGUGUCCAAAGACAAACUGGAGGAAAUUCUAGAAGUGGAUAAUCAAGAUAUUAAGUCUUGACUUCCUUUUUUAAUUUAGUGGAACUUUAGGUACUAUCAAACCUGGUGAUAACAUAGGAAAACUUUUACUACUAAAAUAUACUAAAAUAUAGCAAUAUUAUGAUUCAUAAUAAUCACUCAAUGGGUUAGUUCAUCCAAAAAUGAAAAUUCAGUCAUCCUUGACUCACAAGAACCAAUUAAGUCCUUUUAACUGCUACUGAGUUUCUGUUUGCCAUAUUUUAGGUGCUCUAUGUGUGUAUGUUGAUGUUAACAUGUGAAUAAAAUGAAAGUUUCAGUGGUUUGGAAGUUGGAA
ensembl:lncRNA